GGGGGUGUUAAUGGCCAUUACUGUUACGUAAUAGUGGUAAAAGCUGUUACCCAUGCAAACCAGGAUAUGCCUUUAAAUAAUGGCCUUACGGGUAAUGGAGCCUCUAAAAACCUAUAAAUAACUGUCAUUACAUUACAUAACGGCCAUUAUUUAAAACCAUGGUCUAGAUUUAUUGCUGCUAGUUUUAUCAGUUUGAAUUACCAAUUAGCUGACAUUUUUACUAAAUCUCUCCAGGGGACUAGGAUUGGGUAUAUUUCUAACAAGCUAGGAGCAUACAAUAAAUACACUCCAACUUGAGGGAGAGUGCUAGAAUUAUAUAUAUAGUUCAUAGCUUGAGAAAUUCAUAAAUCUCCAAUUUCACAAAAUUCUCCUCUUUAUUUUCUUCUUCUUUUUCUUCUUCU
rnacentral:misc_RNA from 1 species